rnacentral:lncRNA from 10 species
GGGACGCCGAGGGGAGGAGGAGGAGGCGGCUCGGAUGGCUGGCUCGGCUCUCGCUCGCUCUCCCUCCCAUGGGCAAGUCCGGCUCACACCCUGCUUCUCCCGCUCACUCACAGCCCCCUUGGCUCUCCCUCCUCCUCCUCCUUCCCCUGCGGGAUCCGCUCGCCGCCGCCGCCGCCGCCGCAGACGGCAAGUCGUGGCAGCCAGACGUCGGCGCGUAACCCGGCGCUCCGUGCGUGACUCCAGGCGACGUCAGCGCGCGCUCCGCGUUCCCCACCCCUCCUCCCAACUCCGUGGCUCGCGCCCUUCGCUCUCGCGUCCCUCCGUUUUAGCUGCCGCCGCGGCGGCCGCCGAGCGCGCUCUUUCCGCCCCCUUCUCGCGCGUGAGCGCGCCCUAUCGGCUCCUGGCGCGUCAACAUUCCGCGGGCCAGGCCUUGGGGCGCGUCUGAGGAGGGGGAUGUCUGUGGCCUCUCCGCCCACACUUCCUCCACCCACCGCCCACAGCGCCCCAGAAGGACCUAUUACUCGUUUGGCUUCUGAAGGCCGAAGCCAGGCUCUGGCGGGGAUAGAACCCUGAAGGGCCUGCGCCAGCUCCAACUUAGGGCCCUGUGCGUCGUUGCGACUUCUGCUACCACCCUAUCACGCGGCACCCCCGCCCCAACUCCGCCCGGGUCUCUGAAGAGGCAAUAGGCCUUUCAUCUCCGGGGAAAGUCUCACCUUGGCCCUCAGACACCCGCCAAGAGGGGUCGGAAGGACAGAAUUAGCAUAGAGAAGAGUGGCUAGAGCACUUUUCAGGCUCUGGCCCCAGGAAUCCUUGACAGGAAGCGUGGGGUUGCUGCCCAGCCUCCCACGCAGUGUAAUAUGUUGAAGCCGGGCCCCUUUGAGGGAAUGCGACUUCCUUGGGCCGAGGGGGAAAGGGUAAAAGUUAAUUUUCAUAAAAUGCUAUGCAAGGGCUAAAUGUGAAAUUAUAAAAUGUCCUUUAAGACAGUCUUCUUGAAAUCGUAUCAAGUUUGACAAGAUUUUUGGUGCACGGUAACGCUUUUGCUCGCUUUCUACGCUGUCACGUCUCCAUCCUGCAACACUGAAUACGUAGAUGGAACGUGGAUCAGCUAAUAACUGCAGCAAAAUAAAAACUGCAUUUAUCAUCUUUAUCAUUAUUUAAAUAGACCUCCGAGAAGUCAAACUGUGAUUUAGGAAAACUUAAUCAUUGCCUCAACCUAUUUAACUAUUUUGUUUUGAAGUUACUUUGCAAAUAUACCACAAAAUCCCUCUUUGUUAGGCAGUGGUAGACUUUUAAACUCACUUGUUAGAGAAUCUUUCCCAGAAGCAUAUCUAGUUGAGCCUGCGAGGCAAGUAGGACUAAGGUAUAAUUACUCCCAUUUUACAGAUGAAAAUUUAGUUAUCAAAAUGUAAGUCAGUUGUUCAGCAUUGUGAGGAGUCUAUCACUGAUAAAGGGAAAACUCUAAGGUCUAUUAUUGCCUGCUUUAUUCACUAAACCAGAAAUCUCUCAAUUGUUUUUUUCCAAGUAUCUUUUGCUGCCUCUUACGUAUUGUAGGCAGUGCCUGAUGGCUGAGAAGAAUCGCAGAGGACUAGAAAAGGUUUGAGUCUGAAAUUAUCUGGCACAGAGGAUUAAAGCUCAGAAAUAAGUGAUUGCGAAACAGUUCAACUUCCCUGUUAAUGACAACAACAACAGCAACACGCUUAUUAAUUCCUAGCUGGAGCAUCAAGCUUAUGAAGAUUUCCAAGACUUUAUUGUUGACCCUUGUUGAAGAGAACUCUACUUGGCUUCUUUCCUGGCUUUCCUAAAUUGUUCACAUACAAGAUAAACUACCGUCAUUCAGACUUACAGAAGUGAGAAGACAAGCUGAACCAAAUGUAAAAUGGUAGCAAUUUACAGAUGUCAGAACUAACAUGUGGAUGAACUUAGAGAUGGAGAAGAAAGCUGGGCUUUUCCAAAGAGUGGAUCUAUCUGAACUGGAUAGCACUAUUGAACUUUGUUGCAUAUUUUGUGGUAGCUCUAAAACUCCUCUGCUUGCUUACAUACAACCAGACACCAGUGCCUUCUGAAGCUAAUCCAGGCCAUUUUUAUAACCUAAUGCAGUAGCACUUUGCAAUUAGAUGAAGAAGAUCGGUGGGAUUUCUUUCUGUGGUGAUUAAAAUGUGUCAGGGGAAGAAAUCAAGACAAUACUCCAAGUGAAAAAUAUAAAGUCAGUUAUUUCUUUAAUAUUUUGUGUUAUAGUAAUCAUUUUUAUAUUUUGAGCAUACUUUUUCUUGUCUACUUAAAUACUCAAAAUUAAUUAUAAAAUGUAAAUGUAAGCACAAUGAGAUACCAUCUCAUCCCAGUUAAAAUGGCUUUUAUCAAAAAGAUAGGGAAUAAUGAAUACUGGUGGAAGGAUGUGGAGAAUGGGGAACCCUCGUACACUGUCAAUGAGAAUGUAAAUUAGUACAGCCACUAUGGAAAACUGUAUGGAAGUGCCUCCGAAAACAAAGUAGAACUACCAUGUGAUCCAGCAAUUACACUAGUGGGUAUAUAUUCAAAAGAAAGGAAAUCAACAUAUUAAAGAGAUAGCUGCAUUCUCAUGUUUAUUGAAGUCCUGUUGAAAUAGCCAAAAUAUGGAAUCAACCUAAGUGCCCAUCAGUGGAUGAAUGGUUAAAGAAAAUGUGAUUGAUAUGCAAUGGAAUAUUAUUCAGCCAUAAAAAAGAAUGAAAUCCUGGCGGGGCACAGUGGCUCAUGCAAGUAAUCCCAGCACUGACCUCAUGAAGACAGAGAGUAGAUUGGUGGUUACCAGAGGUUGAGAAGGGGAGAGGAGAGGAGGGAUGAAGAGAGGUUGAUUGAUGGAUAGAAAUAUACAGUUUGAUAAUGAUAAAUCAGUAGGGUGACUAUAGUUUAUAAUAACCUAUUGUAUGGUUCAAAAUAGCUAAAAGAGAAUAAUUGAAAUAACGUAAGACAAAAAUUUAAGAUGAUAGAUAUCCCAAUUACACUGAUUUGAUCUUUACAAAUUAUAUGAAUGUAUUAAAUUAUUACAUGUAUCCCCAAAAUAUGUACAAGUAUUUUGUAUCAAUAAAAAAUAAAAUUUAAGAUAAAGUAAAUGUAAUGAUUAGCUUAUAUUUCCUAGAUCGGAAAUAAAUAUUUACUUAAGUA